rnacentral:rRNA from 1 species
GACGAACGCUGGCGGCGUGCCUAAUACAUGCAAGUAGAACGCAGUUGCGUACGGGUGAGUAACGCGUAGGUAACUGCCUCAUAGCGGGGGAUAACUAUUGGAAACGAUAGCUAAUACCGCAUACUGUGAGAUGGACCUGCGUUGUAUUAGUUAGUUGGUGAGGUAAAGGCCCACCAAGGCGAAGAUACAUAGCCGACCUGAGAGGGUGAUCCGCUCACAUGGGACUGAGAAAAGGGUCAAAAUCCCAAGGGAGGCAGCAGUAGGGAAACUUCGGCAAUGGACGGAAGUCUGACUGCACAACGCCGCGGGAGUGGAGAAGGUCUUUGGAUUGGAAAGCUCUGUUGUUAGAGAAGCGGUACCUAAACAGAAAGGGACGGCUAACUACGUGCCAGCAGCCGCGGUAAUUC